UGGGGAAUAUUGGACAAUGGGCGGAAGCCUGAUCCAGCCAUGCCGCGUGUGUGAAGAAGGCCUUUUGGUUGUAAAGCACUUUAAGCGAGGAGGAGGCUACUUGGAUUAAUACUCUAGGAUAGUGGACGUUACUCGCAGAAUAAGCACCGGCUAACUCUGUGCCAGCAGCCGCGGUAAUACAGAGGGUGCGAGCGUUAAUCGGAUUUACUGGGCGUAAAGCGUGCGUAGGCGGCUUCUUAAGUCGGAUGUGAAAUCCCUGAGCUUAACUUAGGAAUUGCAUUCGAUACUGGGAAGCUAGAGUAUGGGAGAGGAUGGAAGAAUUCCAGGUGUAGCGGUGAAAUGCGUAGAGAUCUGGAGGAAUACCGAUGGCGAAGGCAGCCAUCUGGCCUAAUACUGACGCUGAGGUACGAAAGCAUGGGGAGCAAACAGG
rnacentral:rRNA from 1 species